ACAUCACCAGCCUAAACAUGCGCUUGCUUCCAUCCACAGCCACGUGCACCUCUAUCU
rnacentral:SRP_RNA from 1 species